CUAAGAGGGGGAUAACACUCGGAAACGGGUGCUAAUACCGCAUAAGACCACGACCCGGCAUCGGGAUGAGGUCAAAGGAGCAAUCCGCUGAGAGAGGGGUUCGCGUCCCAUUAGAUAGAUGGCGGGGUAACGGCCCACCAUGUCAACGAUGGGUAGCCGAGCUGAGAGGCUGAUCGGCCACACUGGAACUGAGACACGGUCCAGACUCCUACGGGAGGCAGCAGUGGGGAAUAUUGGGCAAUGGGCGCAAGCCUGACCCAGCAACGCCGCGUGAGGGAAGAAGGCUUUCGGGUUGUAAACCUCUGUCCUUGGUGACGAAACAAAUGACGGUAGCCAAGGAGGAAGCCCCGGCUAACUACGUGCCAGCAGCCGCGGUAAUACGUAGGGGGCGAGCGUUGUCCGGAAUUACUGGGCGUAAAGGGUGCGUAGGUGGCCUUUUAAGUUGGAUGUGAAAUACCCGGGCUUAACUUGGGGGGUGCAUCUAAUACUGGAAGGCUAGAGUGCAGAGAGGAAAGCGGAAUUCCUAGUGUAGCGGUGAAAUGCGUAGAUAUUAGGAGGAACACCAGUGGCGAAGGCGGCUUUCUGGACUGUAACUGACACUGAGGCACGAAAGCGUGGGGGAGCAAACAGGAUUAGAUACCCUGGUAGUCCACGCGGUAAACGAUGAAUACUAGGUGUAGGGGGUAUCAACUCCCCCUGUGCCGGAGCUAACGCAAUAAGUAUUCCGCCUGGGGAGUACGGCCGCAAGGUUGAAACUCAAAGGAAUUGACGGGGGCCCGCACAAGCAGCGGAGCAUGUGGUUUAAUUCGAAGCAACGCGAAGAACCUUACCAAGGCUUGACAUCCACUUAAACGCAUGGAAACAUGCGGUCUCUUCGGAGGAAGUGAGACAGGUGGUGCAUGGUUGUCGUCAGCUCGUGUCGUGAGAUGUUGGGUUAAGUCCCGCAACGAGCGCAACCCCUAUUGCCAGUUACCAGCGAGUAAUGUCGGGGACUCUGGUGAGACUGCCGGGGACAACUCGGAGGAAGGUGGGGAUGACGUCAAAUCAUCAUGCCCCUUAUGUCUUGGGCUACACACGUGCUACAAUGGCUGAAACAAAGGGAAGCGACAACGUAAGUUGAAGCGGAUCUCACAAAAACAGUCCCAGUUCGGAUUGUGGGCUGCAACCCGCCCACA
rnacentral:rRNA from 1 species